AGAAACCACUAGGGGUGUCUUCAUAAAGACUGAGAUUAAAGUAUUACUUUAAGACCCUUAGAACCUGAUCUGGUUUAUACCAGCGUAGGGAAGUGGCAAGAAGUGAUA
rnacentral:ncRNA from 2 species